GACGAACGCUGGCGGCGUGCUUAACACAUGCAAGUCGAGCGGUAAGGCUCCUUCGGGAGUACACGAGCGGCGAACGGGUGAGUAACACGUGAGCAAUCUGCCCUUCACUUUGGGUUAACUUCCGGAAACGGAAGCUAAUACCGAAUACGACCACUUCCGGCAUCGGAUGGUGGUGGAAAGUUCCGGCGGUGAAGGAUGAGCUCGCGGCCUAUCAGCUUGUUGGUGGGGUAACGGCCCACCAAGGCUUCGACGGGUAGCCGGCCUGAGAGGGUGGCCGGCCACACUGGGACUGAGACACGGCCCAGACUCCUACGGGAGGCAGCAGUGGGGAAUAUUGGACAAUGGGCGAAAGCCUAAUCCAGCAACGCCGCGUGAGGGAUGACGGCCUUCGGGUUGUAAACCUCUUUCAGCGGGGACGAAGCGAAAGUGACGGUACCCGCAGAAGAAGCACCGGCCAACUACGUGCCAGCCGCCGCAGUAAAAC
rnacentral:rRNA from 1 species